AUCAAUAUUUUUGUUGAGUCGUGGUGUAUAUUCAUCUUCAACGUAGUAUUCGUAAAUGUCCUUGAUUCCAAUUCCUUCUGACGGCACUCACUCAAUCCAUGAUUGUUGUGGUUUUUACUUAUUAGGUUGAAAUUGAGAGGCACAUAGUCUGAUAUUAAUCGAAUAAUUACAUCUAUAAUCAAUGUCAGUGGACUACACAUAAUGAACAAAA
rnacentral:lncRNA from 1 species